AACGUAGGUGGCGAGCGUUAUCCGGAUUUACUGGGCGUAAAGGGUGUGCAGGCGGGCGACCAAGUGGUGUAUGAAAUCUCCCAGCUAAACUGGGAUAGGUUAUGCCAGACUGGUGGUCUAGAGUGCGAGAGAGGGGCGUGGAAUUCCCGGUGUAGUGGUGAAAUGCGUAGAGAUCGGGAGGAACACCUGUGGCGAAGGCGGCCACCUGGGCCGACCCUGACGCUGAGGCGCGAAGGCGUGGGGAGCGAACGGG
rnacentral:rRNA from 1 species